rnacentral:rRNA from 1 species
GAUGAACGCUGGCGGCGUGCCUAAUACAUGCAAGUCGAGCGAACAGACGAGGAGCUUGCUCCUCUGACGUUAGCGGCGGACGGGUGAGUCACACGUGGAUAACCUACCUAUAAGACUGGGAUAACUUCGGGAAACCGGAGCUAAUACCGGAUAAUAUAUUGAACCGCAUGGUUCAAUAGUGAAAGACGGUUUUGCUGUCACUUAUAGAUGGAUCCGCGCCGCAUUAGCUAGUUGGUAAGGUAACGGCUUACCAAGGCAACGAUGCGUAGCCGACCUGAGAGAGGGGUCGGCCACACGGGAAGGGGAACACGGUCCAGACGCCUACGGGAGGCAGCAGUAGGGAAUCGUCCGCAAUGGGCGAAAGCCUGACGGAGCAGCGCGGCGUGAGUGAUGAAGGUCUUCGGAUCGUAAAACUCGGUUAUGAGUGAAGAACAAAUGUGUAAGUAACUAUGCACGUCUUGACGGUACCUAAUCAGAAAGCCACGGCUAACUACGUG